rnacentral:rRNA from 1 species
UACGUAGGGUGCAAGCGUUGUCCGGAAUUAUUGGGCGUAAAGAGCUCGUAGGCGGCUUGUCACGUCGAUUGUGAAAGACCGCAGGCUUAACCUCGGGUCUGCAGUCGAUACGGGCUAGCUAGAGUGUGGUAGGGGAGAUCGGAAUUCCUGGUGUAGCGGUGAAAUGCGCAGAUAUCAGGAGGAACACCGGUGGCGAAGGCGGGUCUCUGGGCCGAUACUGACGCUGGAGGAAGCGAAAGGCG